UUCCUUAUAGGAUAAGUUAAUCCACCAUCUUUAGGAGAUGGUUAUACAUUUGAAAUGUUUGGGAAU
rnacentral:tRNA from 1 species